rnacentral:lncRNA from 1 species
GUGCAGACACAGGUGCUGCAUCAGAAAACAGGCAGUGGUCCCCUAACAGGCCGGUGGUCUACCAUUGCUGACCUGACUCUGUGCCUAACAGAAAACUUCCACUCCCCAAAAUAAAGACAGAACAUUUCUCUGUUCCUCCCACAAAAGUGACCUUGGAGGUGGUGUUGCCUGCCCCACUCCACCCUGUUCCCAGUCCAGACUCCAGCCAGGUAGUCGGUGCUAGAAAUGUUUGAUGAGUGAAUGGAUUUAACCACACGUCAGUCACUCGGUGGUUAACACUCCUAUCUUUACGUCAAAGCCCUAACCUGUUUACCCUUGACACAUUAGAACCGCCCUCUAAAACAUACAGAGUCCCCUUGCAGUUAGUGUCAACUGUAAAGUAAGCAUGGGGCCAGCAGCUAGAGACACAGGGCCACCAUGGCCUCCCAUCUGGUUACGGCUAGUAUCUGACUAGUGUGAGCUUUUAGGCCUGCGUCUCAGUUUCUCACAUCCAGUCUCUUCCCAUUACCCCCGCCGUCUGUGCUCAAGCUACCGGGAAAUGCCCCUUUUAAUAUCCACAGGUGAGCAUAUGGGCGAAGUGCAAUACCAGCAAAGCUGGAGGGCCAGAGCCCGGCCACCCUCGAGAGCAAGAGGCCUUCCUGCAAGUGACUUGCUCUCUCCGCCCUGGGUCAGUGGACCAAAGGAAGCAGACAGGACGGAGCGGGAAGGUAUCUCUAAGCUAGAAAUGCCAGGCUCGUGAAGAGCAGGCACGGGCAUCUCUCUCAGAGCCCAUGACCAGGAAAACCAAAAAGAAAAUAAAAACUGGUAUCACUAUUCUCCCCCUUCCUAGUCCGAUGUAAUAAUGGCGUGUGUUACACUGGCGCUGUCUUGCUGCGUUUGUCUUUCUAUAUAGUGGUUUUUAUAACGACUUCCUUAGUUUUAAUAAAGGAGAAAUCAAAUCAACUGUU